rnacentral:rRNA from 1 species
GACGAACGCUGGCGGCGUGCUUAACACAUGCAAGUCGAACGGACAGGCCCUGCUCUUGCGGCGUGCUCGUGUGGCGCACGGGUGUGUAACACGCGAGUAUCCUGCCCUUGUCUUUGGGAUAACUUCUGGGAACUGGGGCUAAUACCGGAUAGGAGCUCCUGAUGCAUGGUGGUGGUUGGAAAGUUUCGGCGGUUGGGGAUGGUAUGGCGGCUUAUCGGCUUGUUGGUCGGGUAGUGGCUUACCAAGGGUUUGACGGGUAGCCGGCCUGAGAGCGUGACCGGCCACAAGAGGACUGAGAGACGGACCAGACUCCUACGGGAGGCAGCAGGGGGGAAUAUUGCACAAUAGGCGGGAGCCUGAUGCAGCAACGCCGCGUUCGGGAUGACGGCUUUCGGGUUGUAAACCGCUUUCGCCUUUAACAAGGCGUGAGUGACGGUAAUUGGUAAAGAAGCACCGGCUAACUACGUG